UACGUAGGGGGCUAGCGUUGUCCGGAAUUAUUGGGCGUAAAGAGCUCGUAGGCGGCUUGUCACGUCGGGUGUGAAAGCCCGGGGCUUAACCCCGGGUCUGCAUUCGAUACGGGCUAGCUAGAGUGUGGUAGGGGAGAUCGGAAUUCCUGGUGUAGCGGUGAAAUGCGCAGAUAUCAGGAGGAACACCGGUGGCGAAGGCGGAUCUCUGGGCCAUUACUGACGCUGAGGAGCGAAAGCGUGGGGAGCGAACAGG
rnacentral:rRNA from 1 species